UUUGAUAGAGGUUGCGGUUUCUAUUAGUAUAUCUGUGGAGUUAAGCACAGUGAAGCAGAUAAAAAGGAGAUAUCGCCGAAAUGUAUAGUUAAUGCUUUAAGACUAUAUGUUGGGUUUAUAUAGAAUAUGUAUAAGACUGUCACAAUUUUGUGGAGAGCUAUCAU
rnacentral:ncRNA from 1 species